rnacentral:rRNA from 1 species
UACAGAGAGUGCAAGCGUUAAUCGGAAUUAUUGGGCGUAAAGGGUGUGCAGGUUGUUAAAAAAGUUAGAUGUGAAAUCCCUGGGCGUAACCUAGGAAUUGCAUUUAAUACUUUUUAUCUAGAGUAUUGUAGGGGGAAGUGGAAUUUCCGGUGUAGCGGUGAAAUGCGUAGAUAUAGGAAGGAACACCAGUGGCGAAGGCGACUACCUGGACUGAUACUGACACUGAGGUGCGAAAGCGUGGGGAGCAAACAGG